ACCAGUUUUUAUCAAUUCCCUUUUUUUUUUUAUCUGAUCUGUUCCUGUUCACUAUCCCAAGACAUGUAAACCAGUUGGGAAGGUAUAAAUCCUGAGAGAUUAUAAUUCAUAAUUUUAUUACCUUCCUCUUUUAUAAGUGAAUCGUGUGGCAAUGUCCGUGGCGUCAUUUUGAUGAGUCACUGCCUUUCUUAUCUUGAACUUGUUGUUUAAAGUCUGGAUGACUGAUGCU